UACAGAGGGGGCAAGCGUUGUUCGGAAUUACUGGGCGUAGAGGGCGCGUAGGCGGCCUUCUAAGUCGAACGUGAAAUCCCCCGGCUUAACCUGGGAACUGCGUCUGAUACUGGACGGCUUGAGUAUGGGAGAGGGAUGUAGAAUUCCAGGUGUAGCGGUGAAAUGCGUGGAUAUCUGGAGGAAUACCGGUGGCGAAGGCGGCAUCCUGGACCAUUACUGACGCUGAGGCGCGAAAGCUAGGGGAGCAAACGGG
rnacentral:rRNA from 1 species